rnacentral:rRNA from 1 species
CCUACGGGAGGCAGCAGUGAGGAAUAUUGGUCAAUGGGCUUACGCCUGAACCAGCCAAGUCGCGUGAGGGAGGACGGCCCUACGGGUUGUAAACCUCUUUUGCCGGGGAGCAACGGGCGUCACGUGUGGCGCCACUGAGAGUACCCGGAGAAAAAGCAUCGGCUAACUCCGUGCCAGCAGCCGCGGUAAUACGGAGGAUGCGAGCGUUAUCCGGUUUUAUUGGGUUUAAAGGGUGCGUAGGCGGAUCGUUAAGUCAGUGGUCAAAUUGAGGGGCUCAACCCCUUCCCGCCAUUGAAACUGGCGUUCUUGAGUGGAAGAGAAGUAUGCGGAAUGCGUGGUGUAGCGGUGAAAUGCAUAGAUAUCACGCAGAACCCCGAUUGCGAAGGCAGCAUGCCGGCUUCCGACUGACGCUGAAGCACGAAAGCGUGGGGAUCGAACAGGAUUAGAUACCCCGGUAGUC